UAGGAAGCCCUGUCUCAUUGUGUGCAUUCUCUAGGCAGGGGGUCCUGAACAGUAUGAGAAGAGAAAUGUACUUGAGCAAUGGUAAACAGGUUAUUUGAUGAUCUUAUCAACAAAUCUGAAAUUAGGAGGUUGGAGUUCUAUAGACCACAACAGGUUCAGUGUGUUGCUAGAUCACAAAGCAGCUUUGCUCAGUUUGUUCAACAUUUAAAGCAGUGGAUGCAUUACUGAUCUGCAUAUUCAUACAGCAAGGUACAGUGGGACAGACAUUUGGAAAGAAAUGACUUUCCUUCAAAUAUGAAUUUUGUUGAGAAAACAAUCUUGGACUUGUAAUCCAUUAAUAAA